UAAUAUACAAGUUUCACUUUUUUAAUGGAAUUACUGAAAUAAAUCAACUUUUUGAUGAUAUUAUGACCAGCUCCUGUAUAUUUGGUAGCUAAUGGGACAAUGUGCCAGGAUUUCUGUGCGGACCCAGAAGCAGACGGGACAUAAUGAGAUGGUUAAGAGCGUGACAAUUCCGACGCGAAGGGGGGCCAUCUAAUGAGGAUGUGGAAGUGGAGAGUCAUCUGAUGAGGAUGUGGAAGCGGAGAGUCAUCUGAUGAGGAUGUGGAAGCAGCUAUUGCUGUUUUGAGACACUCUGCUGAUUAAAACAUUGUCUGUGAGAAGAUGAAAAUUACCUUCAUAUAUCGGCAAGCAAUGGUCAACGAUGCAGCCAAAUCAUCAGAUGUCUUCUUAGUCUUCCCACGAUUUCUGGACACACCAGGCCUGGUAUCUUAAUUCACUGCAUCACCAAAAUAUCCAAUGUAGCAUCAGUUAUCACUCAUCACUUCUGUCUAUGUGUGUUACAUUGCUGAUAGAACAAGAUUUCAGACUUCUGUUUGGUGAGGCCAACAGAUUCUCGGAGAAGUGGCCAACAACUUUCAAAGCAAAAGUAAUAAAGGAAAGCUAUGGACUUGUACCCACCACAGAACUCUUGGAUUUGAUGCGCAAUGCUGAGUCAGCUGCUGAAGUUGAGGAUGCACAAGGUAGAAAGAGGCCGGGAAAGAUGUCUGCAUAUCAUGCUGUAGAUCAGCUGUAGAUUUCAAAAGGUUGGACCCAGUGUGCAUCAGCAUCUAGACAACAUCACCCAAAGCAGUCUGCCCUACCUUCUCGCCCAGGGAUCCACACAGAGAAGCAUUCACUCCUACUUCAUUGUGGUUGACAAGCGUGCACUUCCAUGCAAGGCAACAGGUGCAGUAGGUGCUUCUGACGAAGUCUUUAAAGCCCAUUACGUCUUUGGUACGUCAAUACAAGCGAUCAAAAUGUAUGACUGACAAGUGGGAAAUAGUAGAACCAGUUGAAUGUGUGUGAUUGGUUCAAGAUUUGACACAAUAAAAAGACUGGAACAUAUGAUCAGGUAGUAGUUCAAGGUAAAUGUAUGUAUAUUCCAACUGUAUCUACACUGCAGUCAAUAUUUAAAAGUCAGUAUGUUUCAGAAAUGUUGCAAAGCUCAGCUACCAGCAACUCUAGACUGAGAGAUAUUUGUGAUGGAUCUUUUUUUAAGUCACCCCUGUUCUCAACUGAGAAGCAGACACUACAGGUCCAUGUUCUAUGAUGACUUUGAGGUCGCCAACCCUCUGGGUUCUAAUCGAGGUUCUGUUUAGCGGAAAAGGAGGACUUUCAGACAGAAUUCUCUGAAGAUUCUUCCAAAAUAGUUUAGCACACCAAAGAUAUAAACACUGCUCACUGUCAAGAAAUGGCUUGUAAUCAAUCCCUUCCAUACGUUUUUGGUGUGAAAAGUUCAUGCAUAUUAAAUUCAUUGAAGUACUUUCACACAACUGAGAACUUCUCAGUUGAUGUGAUCCAUGAUGUGUUAGAAGUGGUGGGCCAGUACAAAUUAAAGUUAUUAUUUCUGUAUUUGAAGGAAAAACAUGUUGCAUCAGGAGAAAUACAUUCAAGAAUACAAAGUUUUGAUUAUGGUUUCAUGGAGAGAAACAAUAGGCCCGUGGCUGUUAAUUUAGGUGAAGGAUCUAAUGAUCUGGGACUGAAUGCAGUUCAGUCCUGGUGCUUAUUUAGGAAUGUUCCUCUUAUCUUUGGAGAUUUGGUAACUUCUACUGACCAACACUGGGGCCUGCUUCUUUUCAAAUAAUUAAUUAAUUAUAUUCUCGCCCAUGUUAUCUCAAGGUCUAUGUGUACACUUAACACUUAAUUGUGGAUCACCAUACACUGUUUAAGAAGUUGUAUCCUCAGAAAAACCUUUUACCAAAGCUCCAUUUUCUUAUCCACUAUCCCCGCUGCAUCCAGUAAAUUGGGCCUGUACUUUAUAGUUGGUGUAUGAGGUAUGAAGGUAAGCAUGACAUGCUUUCCAAAAAUGGCUUAUAUUUUUUACAAAUAUUAUAAAAACGCUGGCAAAAAAGCAUCAGAAUCAUAUGGCAUAUAGUUGGCGAAGUUCAACAAUUUUCGUCGGUUAGACAUUGGUCCAGGAAAAAUAGUGUCUUUAAAUAUGGUAAAAGGAGGUUCUGGAAUUGCUAUGGCAAUGCAAGUGCCCAGUAGCAUUCAGGUUAUGAAGGUUAAUUGGGUUUGUUUAUCACCCAUCUGUGGCAAAGUAAAAUCUGAAGUGCCCUUGUUUUAUCAGAUUGAGUCAGUUCCGAUAAUGUGUGAAAAACUGUUGUUACUCACAGUGCCUUUAGUUACAGUAACUUUCAAGAACAUUUCCAUGCAUAUGAAGUGAUCAGAUCAAAACAUGAUUUGCUUUUUUUCCAUGUCGACAAACCUGCAUUACCCUAGGCUUUUUGAUAUACAAAUGUCAUAUGGAGGGAAACACACAGCUUUCCUUGUUGAGCCAUAUUGCUUUCUCUGGUGAAAAUCUUUAUGAUGUUAUACAUGUAUUUUUCUAUCAUAGACAAGGCAAUGGGUUUGCAAUGUAAAUUCACUGAUAUUGAAAUGCUUUUUAUUUACAAUAAAUGUGG